UCCGAGAGGCCCAACCGUUAUUCGGAAUUACUGGGCUUAAAGAGUUCGUAGGCGGCAUUGCAAGUCGGGUGUGAAAGCCCUCGGCUCAACCGAGGAAUUGCGCUCUAAACUGCAGUGCUUGAGGAACCUAGAGGUGAGCAGAACAGAUGGUGGAGCGGUGAAAUGCGUUGAUAUCAUCUGGAAUACCGGAGGCGAAGGCGGCUCACUGGGAGUUUUCUGACGCUGAGGAACGAAAGCCAGGGUAGCGAACGGG
rnacentral:rRNA from 1 species